rnacentral:lncRNA from 1 species
GAGCGAGCGUCGCCUCUUUCCCGCCCUCCGGGGGAGGAAAUGUGGGGGCCCGGCUGGGGCUCCGCGGCUGGGGCUCGGCGGCCGGCCCUGAGCGCUCCGCCUCGCGCUGCUCUGAGCUCCAGCACGUGGGCGGCUGCGGGGAGCGGUCGGGCGCGUGCACUGUGCGGAGCUGCGAUCCGGGAGCUGGGGGGGGCGUGUCCGAGGGGCGCCCCCGGAAGGGACGUGGGGCCGGGAUCCCGACGGGGACACAGCUGCUGGCUGCUGUCCCAAUCCGGGAACGUGCAGCGCACACCCGGGAGCGGUGCCCACUGCGGAGAGCCGCCGCACCUGCCCGGGCCGCCACGUCCCCCUGGCUCCGUUUGAUGCUGACACCCUGCCUUGGAGCCAGCCCAUUAUGGACAGAAACCUCUACAAACUCAGGAGGAUUAAUGAAAGGUAUGAAUUCCCUUGGAGCAAGCAGGGAGAAGUCCACUGGCUCCUGCAGAGUUCUUGGAAAUGUGUUCGUGCUUGGAUUGAGUGGUGGA